rnacentral:rRNA from 1 species
UUGGAUUUCUGGCGAUUGGGGGUGGUCCACCGCAAGGUGAGCACUGUUCCCGGCCGCCAUCCUCUCGAGGGCUUGUGGUGCCAUUAACUUGGUGCUGCAGGAGCUCGGGACCUUUACUUUGAAAAAAUUAGAGUGUUCAAAGCAGGCCUACGCUUGAAUACAUUAGCAUGGAAUAAUAGAAUAGGACUUUGGUUCUAUUUUGUUGGUUUCUAGGACCGAAGUAAUGAUUAAUAGGGACAGUUGGGGGCAUUAGUAUUUAAUUGUCAGAGGUGAAAUUCUUGGAUUUAUGAAAGACUAACUACUGCGAAAGCAUUUGCCAAGGAUGUUUUCAUUAAUCAAGAACGAAAGUUAGGGGAUCGAAGACGAUCAGAUACCGUCGUAGUCUUAACCAUAAACUAUGCCGACUCAGGAUCAUCGAGGUGAAUAUAGCCACGGUGGCACUGUACGAGAAAUCAAAGUUUUUGGGUUCUGGGGGGAGUAUGGUCGCAAGGCUGAAACUUAAAGGAAUUGACGGAAGGGCACCACCAGGAGUGGAGCCUGCGGCUUAAUUUGACUCAACACGGGGAAACUCACCAGGUCCAGACAUAGUAAGGAUUGACAGAUUGAUAGCUCUUU